GUGGAUUAGAUACCCGGGUAGUCCACGCCCUAAACGAUGUCAACUAGUUGUCGGGUCUUAAUUGACUUGGUAACGCAGCUAACGCGUGAAGUUGACCGCCUGGGGAGUACGGUCGCAAGAUUAAAACUCAAAGGAAUUGACGGGGACCCGCACAAGCGGUGGAUGAUGUGGAUUAAUUCGAUGCAACGCGAAAAACCUUACCUACCCUUGACAUGGUCGGAAUCCUGGAGAGAUCUGGGAGUGCUCGAAAGAGAACCGGCGCACAGGUGCUGCACGGUCGUCGACAGCU
rnacentral:rRNA from 1 species